rnacentral:lncRNA from 1 species
CCUGGGCUGGCCUCCCCAGGAAGAGGUUCAGGUCUUUCAGAUUCUUCAGAAUAGAACAUUGACAAAACCUUUCUCUUGCUAAUUUUGCCUGCCUUUCCCAGCUCGGCUCAGGUGACAUGUUAUGCCAACAAAGUCUGUUUGUUUAAACUGUCAAGCAGAGAAGACUGGGCCUGUGGACUGGGCUGGACACACUCCCUGUGGCCCAGCGGCUGUAGCUGGGCCUUCCCAGCAGGGGACAGAAAGAGUUAAGGAAAUGCAUUUGGACAGAACUGGAGCCUGAAACUCAAGCUCCGAGGUCUCUUUCAGAGCCCAGGGCCAGGCAAGUGUCUAUUGUCAACAAAUACCACCACUAGACCAAUAGCAAGUCAGAGUAUGGUUCUGAGACAGGGGCCUCCAGAUGUCACCAGGCAACAGGCACAAAGAAGGCUGGAUCAACUGCCCAGCAGACGAUUAUACCACCCCCAGCCCCCGCUGCAGCUCCCGUUCCAGCGCAGCCAGACCUCAAUGACUUUGCCUACACGUGAAAGAGUGAAAAGCAAGUCUGCGAUCCCUUUUUGCGGUCAGGGAAGGGAUGACACACCCAGAGAUGCUGCUCUGCGGCUCAGGAUGUUCCUUGGAGAUCCGAGUUCCAUUCGCUCCUGAGGUUAAGACUUGUUACUGCUUCGGGGCCACCAGCUAAACACUUGACAUUUCUGCUGAGGCUGAACAUCUGGAUAAUAACAGCUGGGAUCACACUGCAUCUCCCUCUCCCAAAUAAACCCUGACAAUUCUCAGGAGAACACAGGCGAGUGAGUGAGUGGUUGUCUAAUGCCCUUCGAAUGUCCUCCGCUUUCUCCGCUUACCCUUUAUCAUUCUGAAAUCUCUCCAGCUCUAAUUUAAUUUCAUGCCCUCUCAUUAGUCUUUUCAGACAUAAAGAAUAAUUUGUCUAUAUCUCCUGCAUAAAAUCAUUGCCUAUACUCGAAGGCAAGAAUUAAAC